rnacentral:lncRNA from 1 species
UUCUUUUAUUUUCAUUUUACUCUUUGUUUUAAGGAUUUUUGAUCACAUCUAUGUCUGUCUUUAUUACACUUCAGAUAUUUGUAUUUUCAAAAAAUGUUCAUGUUUCUAGUGCAAUGUUUCUUUCAUACUGUUACAGCAUUUUUAUAUUUAUUUCAUUUGCAUUUAUUUUUUCUAGCUGUUUUUGUUUUCAUCUCAGCCAAUAUAGAUUCCAAGGGAAAAAGGAGAAAGAAAUCAACAACAUUUGGCAUUUGAUCAAAUUACGGACAGAGCAAUGGCCAUGGUGAAAACAGUGAAGAAAAAAUACCAGUGAUCUUUUUCAGAAAGAAUAGAAACUGAAAUUAUGGUUAUCCUUAUUAGUAUAGCAAGAUGGUCAGUGACUGGAAAUUCCAGGAAAAUUGUGAAUUAAGCAUGAAUUUUGCCCACCAGGAAAAAACUGGGAAUUAUGCAUGGAAAUUUCCUUAAAUCAGAAAAAUUAAGAAAUAUGAUGUUAGUUUGCAUUAUAAUUUAAAAUUUAAUAAAUUUUGAGAAGGACAGACACUAGUGAUACUGCACCUGGUUUUUCUUUAUUUAAAUUUUGAAGCAUCAAUAUAUUUGCAGUUAAUAGCAGUUUGUAUAUCA